UAGGAUAGAGGCCUACCAUGGUGGUAACGGGUAACGGGGUGUUAGGGCACGACACCGGAGAGGGAGCCUGAGAAACGGCUACCACAUCCAAGGAUGGCAGCAGGCGCGCAAAUUACCCAAUCCCGACACGGGGAGGUAGUGACAAUAAAUAACAAUACGGGGUUCUUUCGGAUCUCGUAAUUGGAAUGAGUACAAUUUAAAUCUCUUAACGAGGAACAAUUGGAGGGCAAGUCUGGUGCCAGCAGCCGCGGUAAUUCCAGCUCCAAUAGCGUAUAUUAAAGUUGUUGCAGUUAAAAAGCUCGUAGUUGAAUUUCGGGGUUAGUAGGUUGGUCAUGCCUCUGGUAUGUACUGGUCUCACUGAUUCCUCCUUCCUGAUGAACCGUAAUGCCAUUAAUUUGGUGUUGCGGGGAAUUUGGACUGUUACUUUGAAAAAAUUAGAGUGUUUAAAGCAAGCUAACGCUUGAAUACAUUAGCAUGGAAUAAUGAAAUAGGACGUUCGAUCCUAUUUUGUUGGUUUCUAGGAUUGACGUAAUGAUUAAUAGGGAUAGUUGGGGGCAUUAGUAUUCAAUUGUCAGAGGUGAAAUUCUUGGAUUUAUUGAAGACUAACUACUGCGAAAGCAUUUGCCAAGGAUGUUUUCAUUAAUCAAGAACGAAAGUUAGGGGAUCGAAGACGAUCAGAUACCGUCGUAGUCUUAACCAUAAACUAUGCCGACUAGGGAUCGG
rnacentral:rRNA from 1 species